CCUACGGGUGGCAGCAGUGGGGAAUAUUGCACAAUGGGGGAAACCCUGAUGCAGCGACGCCGCGUGAGUGAAGAAGUAUUUCGGUAUGUAAAGCUCUGUCAGCAGGGAAGAAAAUGACGGUAACUGACCAAGAAGCCACGGCUAAGUACGUGGCAGCAGCCGCGGUAAUACGUAGGGGGAAAGCGAUAUCCGGAUUUACUGGGGGGAAAGGGGGCGUAGACGGCAGGGCAAGUCUGGAGUGAAAGGCGGGGGCUCACCCCACGGACUGAUCUGGAAACUGACAGGCUGGAGUGCCGGAGAGGUAAGGGGAAUUCCUAGUGUAGCGGUGAAAUGCGUAGAUAUUAGGAGGAACACCAGUGGCGAAGGCGGCUUACUGGGCUUUAACUGACGCUGAGGCUCGAAAGCGUGGGUAGCAAACAGGAUUAGAUACCCCUGUAGUC
rnacentral:rRNA from 1 species